UAUUUUAUUAGUAUAAUAAUCAUUACAUUUAGUUUCCACCUAAAAAAUCCUAAAAGAUAAAAU
rnacentral:tRNA from 1 species